AGCGAACGCUGGCGGCAGGCCUAACACAUGCAAGUCGAACGCGUGUAGCAAUACACGAGUGGCAGACGGGUGAGUAACACGUGGGAACGUACCUUUCGGUUCGGAAUAACUCAGGGAAACUUGUGCUAAUACCGGAUACGCCUUUACGGGGAAAGAUUCAUCGCCGAAAGAUCGGCCCGCGUCUGAUUAGCUUGUUGGUGAGGUAACGGCUCACCAAGGCGACGAUCAGUAGCUGGCUGAGAGGAUGAUCAGCCACAUUGGGACUGAGACACGGCCCAAACUCCUACGGGAGGCAGCAGUGGGGAAUAUUGGACAAUGGGCGAAAGCCUGAUCCAGCCAUGCCGCGUGAGUGAUGAAGG
rnacentral:rRNA from 1 species